UACGAGGGGGGCGAGUGUUGUUCGGAAUCACUGGGCGUAAAGGGAGCGUAGGCGGGCCGUUAAGUUGGAUGUUUAAAACCGGGGCCCAACCCCGGGGCGGCAUCCAAAACUGGUGGUCUGGAAUGGGACAGAGGCCGGUGGAAUUGGAGGUGUAGCGGUGGAAUGCGUAGAGAUCUCCAAGAACACCCGUUGCGAAGGCGGCCGGCUGGGUCCACAUUGACGCUGAGGCUCGAAAGCAUGGGGAGCAAACAGG
rnacentral:misc_RNA from 1 species